UGGGGAAUUUUGCACAAUGGGCGAAAGCCUGAUGCAGCGACGCCGCGUGGGUGAUGAAGGUCUUCGGAUUGUAAAGCCCUGUCGGGGGGGAUGAAUCUUCUCAUAGCUAACAUCUAUGGGACGUGACCGUACCCCCAAAGGAAGCACCGGCUAACUCCGUGCCAGCAGCCGCGGUAAUACGGAGGGUGCAAGCGUUGUUCGGAAUUACUGGGCGUAAAGCGCCUGUAGGCGGAUAGAGUAGUCGGGUGUGAAAUCCCCGGGCUUAACCCGGGAAUUGCGCCCGAAACCAUCUGUCUUGAGUGCCAAAUGGGUACGUGGAAUUCCCAGUGUAGCAGUGAAAUGCGUAGAUAUUGGGAGGAACACCGAUGGUGAAGACAACGUACUGGGUGGCAACUGACGCUGAGAGGCGAAAGCGCGGGUAGCAAACAGG
rnacentral:rRNA from 1 species